rnacentral:rRNA from 1 species
GACGAACGCUGGCGGCGUGCCUAAUACAUGCAAGUAGAACGCACAGUUUAUACCGUAGCUUGCUACACCAUAAACUGUGAGUUGCGAACGGGUGAGUAACGCGUAGGUAACCUGCCUGGUAGCGGGGGAUAACUAUUGGAAACGAUAGCUAAUACCGCAUAAUAUUGAUUAUUGCAUGAUAAUUGAUUGAAAGAUGCUAUUGCAUCACUACCAGAUUGACCUGCGUUGUAUUAGCUAGUAGGUGAGGUAACGGCUCACCUAGGCGACGAUACAUAGCCGACCUGAGAGGGUGAUCGGCCACACUGGGACUGAGACACGGCCCAGACUCCUACGGGAGGCAGCAGUAGGGAAUCUUCGGCAAUGGACGAAAGUCUGACCGAGCAACGCCGCGUGAGUGAAGAAGGUUUUCGGAUCGUAAAGCUCUGUUGUAAGAGAAGAACGGGUGUGAGAGUGGAAAGUUCACACUGUGACGGUAUCUUACCAGAAAGGGACGGCUAACUACGUG